UCAAAUUUGAAAUCUGGCUUCGGCCCGAGUUGUAAUUUGCAGAGGAUGUUUCUGGCGCGGUGCCUUCCGAGUUCCCUGGAACGGGACGCCACAGAGGGUGAGAGCCCCGUAUGGUUGGACACCAAGCCUGUGUGAAACUCCUUCAACGAGUCGAGUAGUUUGGGAAUGCUGCUCUAAAUGGGAGGUAAAUCUCUUCUAAAGCUAAAUACCGGCCAGAGACCGAUAGCGCACAAGUAGAGUGAUCGAAAGAUGAAAAGCACCUUGAAAAGGGGGUUAAAUAGUACGUGAAAUUGUUGAAAGGGAAGCACUUAUGACCAGACUUGGGCCGGGCGGCUCAUCAGGGGUUCUCCCCUGUGCACUCCGCCCGGCACAGGCCAGCAUCGGUUCUCGUGGGGGGAUAAGACCGUCAGGAACGUAGCACCCUCCGGGGUGUGUUAUAGCCUGGCGGACGAUACCCCCGUGGGGACCGAGGUCCGCGCUCCGCAAGGAUGCUGGCGUAAUGGUCAUCAGUGACCCGUCUUGAAACACGGACCAAGGAGUCGUCCAUUAGAGCGAGCGUUUGGGUGUAAAACCCGCACGCGUAAUGAAAGUGAACGCAGGUGAGAGCUUCGGCGCAUCAUCGACCGAUCCUGAUGUUCUCGGAAGGAUUUGAGUAAGAGUUUUAACGGACGGACCCGAAAGACAGUGAACUAUGCUUGUAUAGGGUGAAGCCAGAGGAAACUCUGGUGGAGGCUCGCAGCGGUU
rnacentral:rRNA from 1 species